GACGAACGCUGGCGGCGUGCUUAACACAUGCAAGUCGAACGGAAAGGCCCUGCUUUUGUGGGGUGCUCGAGUGGCGAACGGGUGAGUAACCCGUGAGUAACCUGCCCUUGACUUUGGGAUAACUUCAGGAAACUGGGGCUAAUACCGGAUAGGAGCUCCUGCUGCAUGGUGGGGGUUGGAAAGUUUCGGCGGUUGGGGAUGGACUCGCGGCUUAUCAGCUUGUUGGUGGGGUAGUGGCUUACCAAGGCUUUGACGGGUAGCCGGCCUGAGAGGGUGACCGGCCACAUUGGGACUGAGAUACGGCCCAGCCUCCUACGGGAGGCAGCAGUGGGGAAUAUUGCACAAUGGGCGGAAGCCUGAUGCAGCAACGCCGCGUGCGGGAUGACGGCCUUCGGGUUGUAAACCGCUUUCGCCUGUGACGAAGCGUGAGUGACGGUAAUGGGUAAAGAAGCACCGGCUAACUACGUG
rnacentral:rRNA from 1 species